GUAGGGGGCAAGCGUUAUCCGGAUUUACUGGGUGUAAAGGGAGCGUAGACGGCAGCGCAAGUCUGAAGUGAAAGCCCGGGGCUCAACCCCGGAAUGGCUUUGGAAACUGUGUGGCUAGAGUACCGGAGGGGUAAGCGGAAUUCCUAGUGUAGCGGUGAAAUGCGUAGAUAUUAGGAGGUACACCAGUGGCGAAGGCGGCUUACUGGACGGUAACUGACGUUGAGGCUCGAAAGCGUGGGGAGCAAACAGGAUUAGAUACCCUGGUAGUCCACGCGGUAAACGAUGAAUGCUAGGUGUUGGUGAGCAAAGCUUAUCGGUGCCGCCGCAAACGCAUUAAGCAUUCCACCUGGGGAGU
rnacentral:rRNA from 1 species